rnacentral:snRNA from 1 species
GUGCUCACUUGGGCAGCACAUAUACUACAACUGGAACAAUACAGAGAAGAGUAACAUGGCCCCUGUGCAAGGAUGACACACAAAUUUGUGAAGCAUUUCAUAUUUUA